rnacentral:rRNA from 2 species
UGCAAGUCGAGCGAACAGAUGAGAAGCUUGCUUCUCUGAUGUUAGCGGCGGACGGGUGAGUAACACGUGGGUAACCUACCUAUAAGACUGGGAUAACUCCGGGAAACCGGGGCUAAUACCGGAUAAUAUUUUGAACCGCAUGGUUCAAUAGUGAAAGACGGUUUCGGCUGUCACUUAUAGAUGGACCCGCGCCGUAUUAGCUAGUUGGUAAGGUAACGGCUUACCAAGGCGACGAUACGUAGCCGACCUGAGAGGGUGAUCGGCCACACUGGAACUGAGACACGGUCCAGACUCCUACGGGAGGCAGCAGUAGGGAAUCUUCCGCAAUGGGCGAAAGCCUGACGGAGCAACGCCGCGUGAGUGAUGAAGGUCUUCGGAUCGUAAAACUCUGUUGUUAGGGAAGAACAAAUUUGUUAGUAACUGAACAAGUCUUGACGGUACCUAACCAGAAAGCCACGGCUAACUACGUGCCAGCAGCCGCGGUAAUACGUAGGUGGCAAGCGUUAUCCGGAAUUAUUGGGCGUAAAGCGCGCGUAGGCGGUUUCUUAAGUCUGAUGUGAAAGCCCACGGCUCAACCGUGGAGGGUCAUUGGAAACUGGGAAACUUGAGUGCAGAAGAGGAGAGUGGAAUUCCAUGUGUAGCGGUGAAAUGCGCAGAGAUAUGGAGGAACACCAGUGGCGAAGGCGGCUCUCUGGUCUGUAACUGACGCUGAUGUGCGAAAGCGUGGGGAUCAAACAGGAUUAGAUACCCUGGUAGUCCACGCCGUAAACGAUGAGUGCUAAGUGUUAGGGGGUUUCCGCCCCUUAGUGCUGCAGCUAACGCAUUAAGCACUCCGCCUGGGGAGUACGACCGCAAGGUUGAAACUCAAAGGAAUUGACGGGGACCCGCACAAGCGGUGGAGCAUGUGGUUUAAUUCGAAGCAACGCGAAGAACCUUACCAAAUCUUGACAUCCUUUGACCGCUCUAGAGAUAGAGUCUUCCCCUUCGGGGGACAAAGUGACAGGUGGUGCAUGGUUGUCGUCAGCUCGUGUCGUGAGAUGUUGGGUUAAGUCCCGCAACGAGCGCAACCCUUAAGCUUAGUUGCCAUCAUUAAGUUGGGCACUCUAGGUUGACUGCCGGUGACAAACCGGAGGAAGGUGGGGAUGACGUCAAAUCAUCAUGCCCCUUAUGAUUUGGGCUACACACGUGCUACAAUGGAUAAUACAAAGGGCAGCGAAUCCGCGAGGCCAAGCAAAUCCCAUAAAAUUAUUCUCAGUUCGGAUUGUAGUCUGCAACUCGACUACAUGAAGCUGGAAUCGCUAGUAAUCGUAGAUCAGCAUGCUACGGUGAAUACGUUCCCGGGUCUUGUACACACCGCCCGUCACACCACGAGAGUUUGUAACACCCGAAGCCGGUGGAGUAACCUUUUAGGAGCUA